GAGAGAGAGAGAGAGAGAGAGGGAGAGAGAGGGAGAGAGAGAGAGUGUGAGAGUGUGAGAGAGAGAGUGUGUGUGUGUGUGAGAGUGUGUGUGUGUGUGUGUGUGUGAGUGUGUGAGUGGUGAGUGUGUAUUGAGUCAAUCAGUUUCCGAAAAAGGGCGUCCUCCUCCUCCUCUUCCUCCUCCUCCUCUUCCUCCUCCUCGCGGAUUCUCUCAUGUUUGUCUCCCCGGAGGAAGGGGCGGGCUCAGCGCCACAGCAGAUCCGGAAUUAGUGGGUGUUCGUCGGCUCUGCUCGGCUCGGUCGGUCGGUCUGUGGCUCCGCGGGCGGUUCGGUUCUAGCGCGGAGAGGAAGAGGAGCUCAGAAGAAGAAGAAGAAGAAGGGAAGAAAGAAGAAGAAGAAGAAGGAGGGAGAACCCCAGGUGAAGGGACAGAGUGUCGACUCAGGGAGGGACGACUAACCCUGAGCUGAAAAGAGGAAUAAAAAAAGAAGAAGAAGAUUUAAAAGUAGAGGCAGAAGAAGAGAAAGAUGCCUCUGGCUCAGUUGGCGGAUCCCUGGCAGAAGAUGCCCCUGGGGGGGACACCUGGAGAGGAGGUGCAUCACGACCCCGAGGACUCCGCGGGCGAUGACGACUCCAUGCCUCCCUGCACCUCAGGGAAACAGAUCUGCAGGAAACCAUGAGUCAGCAACUUUAACAACUUUUAUAUUUUACAUAAAUGAAAAUAAAAGUCUG